GCGGGGAGUUUGUUAAAAGAAACUGGCAUGGUGAAUCCCCCUGAGCGGAGGGGCAUAUCAGCGCAGGUGUUUCUACUCUAUCCUUUCUGUGCGGGUUCAGGUGCUGAUACUGAACUCACCGGGAGGCACCCGGCACCAUGCAUAUGGUUAACAGACACGUAGCGAAGCCCCUCUCCGGAGGGGCUUUUUUUAUGGGC
rnacentral:sRNA from 1 species